rnacentral:rRNA from 1 species
UACGGAGGGGGCUAGCGUUGUUCGGAAUUACUGGGCGUAAAGCGCACGUAGGCGGCUUUGUAAGUUAGAGGUGAAAGCCCGGGGCUCAACUCCGGAAUUGCCUUUAAGACUGCAUCGCUAGAACAUCGGAGAGGUAAGUGGAAUUCCGAGUGUAGAGGUGAAAUUCGUAGAUAUUCGGAAGAACACCAGUGGCGAAGGCGGCUCACUGGCCCGAUACUGACGCUGAGGCACGAAAGCGUGGGGAGCAAACAGG